UGGGGAAUAUUGCACAAUGGGCGCAAGCCUGAUGCAGCCAUGCCGCGUGAGUGAUGAAGGUUUUCGGAUCGUAAAGCUCUGUCUUUGGGGAAGAUAAUGACGGUACCCAAGGAGGAAGCCACGGCUAACUACGUGCCAGCAGCCGCGGUAAUACGUAGGUGGCGAGCGUUAUCCGGAUUUACUGGGCGUAAAGGGUGCGUAGGUGGUUUCUUAAGUCAGAGGUGAAAGGCUACGGCUCAACCGUAGUAAGCCUUUGAAACUGGGGAACUUGAGUGCAGGAGAGGAGAGUGGAAUUCCUAGUGUAGCGGUGAAAUGCGUAGAGAUUAGGAAGAACACCAGUAGCGAAGGCGACUCUCUGGACUGUAACUGACGCUGAGGCUCGAAAGCGUGGGGAGCAAACAGG
rnacentral:rRNA from 1 species